rnacentral:lncRNA from 1 species
AUCAAAAUAAGAAUAUGUUGUAUGAUUGCCAAUGGAAAAAAAACUGGGGACCAAAUAAUUGGGAUGUAAGGAAGUUUUAUGUCACUUAUGAAGUGAGUUGAACUUUGUCUGAAUCAGUUUUUUUAUUAUGAAUUAUUCAAAACACAAUUUUGAUAGUUUGAGUCGUAUUUGGAGAAUUAUUCUAAAAUUCGUCUUUCGGAUUUAAAAUAUACCAAGAAUUUCACAUUGAAACUGUAGAGGCAUUCUUCGUCCGUUCAUCAGGAAAGUAUGAUGAUAAAUGAUAAAACAAGAUGUCUCACUUCUUUGAAUAAAAAGAGAACUACGUUAAAAUCAAAUAGGGCAGUUUAUUUAGAAAUAUUUUUGUCAUCAACCUUGUCUUCAUUACCAAUAAAAAAAAUAUGGAAUAACAAUACUGUAUUUAGAGCUUUGCAGCUCUCAGUUGGGGAUUUGACACUUUCUGUUUUCUGCCAGCGGGAGUGAGUUAAACGGAUACAUGCGACAGUCAAAUUCAAAAAGAAACAUUUUAAUUCGUGGUUCACCUCCGACAUCCGCAAUAACUGGAAUUCAACGGAUAAUAAUCAAUCUACAGUAAUCAUAGUAGUAAUCGGAGUUCGGUAUUUUUGUGAUGUUACUUUCUUUUUUUAAUAUGAACUUUUCAAAUAUUUUUAUUGCUCAUUGUGAUUUAUUUGAAUUUCUUAUUUCAGAGCGUAAAUAAGAAAAACAGAGGUUAAUAAAGGUAACAGUAAUAACAAAAAAGUCAACAGUAAUUAAUAAAGGCAAUAGUAGUUAAAAAGAGAACAGUGGUAAAUAAAGGCAAUAUUAGUAAAAAUUAACCAACAUUCUAGCUAUGGUAUUGGUAGAAAAUGAUUCAAAUGAAAUCAUAUAUGUAAGGGCUACCCAAGAAAGGGAGCUGGCGGUUAAUAAAAGGAUUGCUAUUGCAGUUCAAGGGUGUUUUACAGGAAAAGGUGUUGCUGCCAUCAGGGAAAUUGAUUGGCAAUGUGCAGAAGUUGAAGAUUUUACUGCACUUGCAUCUAAAGAUGUACUAGAGAUUAUACCGGUUGUUGGCAACACAACAUUUUAUGUAACAAUUAAAUUCACACAGACCUAUUACGUGUGACGCCCUUCCUAUUCGAACAAACCGCAACGACAUUGUUGACGAAUUGUUAUUUAUCCAAAAUGCCCCAAAGAAAAACAAAUUGAUAUAUAGAGUCAUUAUUAAACUUGAAUCUGGAAGGAAAGUUGACAAUAGUGUGAAAGUUAAGGACUAUCCCAUUGAAAGGAAAAAUAACUAUCCUCAAACAGAAAUCUGUCCACAGUAUUCAAGAAAAGGGAAUCUUAAACAACAAAAUCAAAUGCUGGAAAAUGUGUACGGUAUCAUGCAAAAAAUGAACCGAAAUCAAAAGCGAAAGAAUAAAAAUUGACAAAGAUUACAAAACCUGUCAUUAGGUGGGAAUCUGAAUGAACGAAUAUGUGAACAUGGAUUAAUGUAGUGUUUUUGUCCGAGCGUUAUCGAUGAGGCUUAUGUUGACGAAUGCCAUAUGUUUAAGUCUGGUAUCUCUAUUGAUCUUUUGCUAUCGCAGUAUGUCUUUCCUUUUACAUGUCUUUGGUAUACUAAUAAUUUUGUUUACAACUCUUCGAUGGAAUUUCGAUAGGUUUUUGUUUCCAAAACUUGUUUGCUGCUUUCACUUUUGCUUUCAAUUUAACUGGUUUGAUUUCUGCUUUAUGAUAAAUUAUUCACGGUUUUCCAAUAAAAUGUUGACCUUAUGUUUUAU